GACGAACGCUGGCGGCGUGCCUAACACAUGCAAGUCGAACGAGGUCCAUGCAGUGGCAACACUGCGGAAGACCUAGUGGCGAACGGGUGAGUAACACGUGAGGAACCUGCCCCCGAAGACCGGGAUAACCCUCCGAAAGGAGAGCUAAUACCGGAUACCCCCACCGGAUCGCAUGAUCUGGUGAGGAAAUGGAUUCCGCUUCGGGAGGCCUCGCGGCCUUAUCAGCUAGUUGGUGGGGUAACGCCACCAAGGCAUCGACGGGUAAGCUGGUCUGAGAGGACGAUCGGCCACACUGGGACUGAGA
rnacentral:rRNA from 1 species